rnacentral:rRNA from 1 species
GAUGAACGCUGGCGGCGUGCUUAACACAUGCAAGUCGAACGAUGAGGCCCAGCUUUCUGGGUUGAUUCGUGGCGAACGGGUGAGUAACACGUGAGUAACCUGCCCUUAACUCUGGGAUAAGCCUGUUCAACUAGGUCUAAUACCGGCUAGGAGCGUCCUCCGCCUGCUGGGUGUUGGAAUGAUUUAUCGGUUUUGGGUGGCCUCUCGGCCUAUCAGCUUGUUAGUAAGGUAAUGGCUCACCAAGGCGGCGACAGGUAGCCGGCAUGGGAGGGUGAACGGCCACAAGGCGACUGCGAGACGGCGCAGAAGGCAACGGGAGGCAGCAGGGGGGAAUAUUGCACAACGGGCGCAAGCCUGAUGCAGAGACGCCGCGAGAGGGAUGACGGCCUUCGGGUGGUAAACAUAUGUCAGUAGGGAAGAAGAGAAAGUGACGGUACCUGCAGAAGAAGCACCGGCUAACUACGUG